rnacentral:rRNA from 1 species
UACGGGGGGGGCAAGCGUUGUUCGGAAUUACUGGGCGUAAAGGGCUCGUAGGCGGCCAACUAAGUCAGACGUGAAAUCCCUCGGCUUAACCGGGGAACUGCGUCUGAUACUGGAUGGCUUGAUCGGGAGAGGGAUGCGGAAUUCCAGGUGUAGCGGUGAAAUGCGUACGAUAUCGGAGGAACACCGGUGGCGAAGGCGGUCACUCG